GGGCCCGCACAAGCGGUGGAGUAUGUGGUUUAAUUCGAUGCAACGCGAAGAACCUUACCAGGGUUUGACAUCCUGCGAAUCUCUUGGAAACUUGAGAGUGCCUUCGGGAGCGCAGUGACAGGUGGUGCAUGGCUGUCGUCAGCUCGUGUCGUGAGAUGUUGGGUUAAGUCCCGCAACGAGCGCAACCCACGUCUUUAGUUGCCAGCAUUUAGUUGGGGACUCGUAGGAGACUGCCGGGGUCAACUCGGAGGAAGGUGGGGAUGACGUCAAGUCAUCAUGCCCCUUAUGUCCAGGGCUGCAAACACGCUACAAUGGCUGGUACAGAGGGCUGCGAACCCGCGAGGGCAAG
rnacentral:rRNA from 1 species